rnacentral:rRNA from 1 species
CCUACGGGAGGCAGCCGUGAGGAAUAUUGGUCACUGGACGAGCGUCUGCACCAGCCAAGUAGCGUGAAGGAUGCCUGCCCUAUGGGUUGUACACUUCUUUUAUAUGGGAAUAAAAUGUUUCACGUGUGGGAUUUUGUCUGUACCAUAUGAAUAAGGAUCGGCUAACUCCGUGCCAGCAGCCGCGUUAAUACGGAGGAUCCGCGCGUUAUCCGGAUUUAUUGGGUUUAAAGGGAGCGUAGGUGGAUGGUUAAGUCAGUUGUGAAAGUUUGCGGCUCAACCGUAAAAUUGCAGUUGAAACUGGCAGUCUUGAGUACAGUAGAGGUGGGCGGAAUUCGUGGUGUAGCGGUGAAAUGCUUAGAUAUCACGAAGAACUCCGAUUGCGAAGGCAGCUCACUGGACUGCAACUGACACUGAGGCUCGAAAGUGUGGGUAGCAAACAGGAUUAGAUACCCCAGUAGUC